UUUCUAUAAAAGUGACAAAUAGCAAUAUUUUCAAGAAACAACUUUUUAAAUUCUAAUUUAAUAGAAGUCAAGUUAUGGUCUGAGAGAUAACUUAAAAAUGGUAAGUUAUUUAGGAACAAGAUAAAAGGCAAAACACCAAACUUCAUACAAACUUAAAUGUUUGACAUUUAAAAAUUAAAGAGAUUUUUUUUUAACGUGUAUUUGAGACAAAUAAGCCAACCUUGGUACAUAACCGCUGAAAACUAAAAAACCGUACCCUAAACCAACACAGGUGGAUAGGUCGAGUAGACUAAGGUGUAUGAGAUAAUUAUGUUGAAGGAACUCGGCAAAAUGACUCUGUAACUUCGGGAGAAAGAGUACCUUUUUAUUAGUGUUUAUCGACGAAAUAAUAAGAAG
rnacentral:rRNA from 1 species